rnacentral:misc_RNA from 1 species
UUUCCGUAGGUGAACCUGCGGAAGGAUCAUUAACGAGUGAAAAUCUUCGGGAAUUUAUUAUCCAAACACCUGUGCAAAUUAAUUUUGGCUUUGGGAAUUUAAUUAUUCACAACAAUCAAAACCACUAAGAGGGCUUAAGUCUGUUUGAUUAUUCAAAAAUCAAAACUUUCAACAACGGAUCUCUUGGUUAUC